rnacentral:rRNA from 1 species
GAUGAACGCUAGCGGCAGGCUUAAUACAUGCAAGUCAAGGGGGUAGCAAUACAACCGGCGCACGGGUGAGUAACGCGUACACAACAUACCAUAUACUGGAGUAUAGCUUUGGGAAACUGAAGGUAAUCCUCCAUAACAUUGCGAGAGGGCAUCUGAUUGCAAUUAAAGUUCCGGCGGUAUAUGAUUGGUGUGCGUUUGAUUAGCUAGUUGGUAGGGUAACGGCCUACCAAGGCGACGAUCAAUAGCUGGCGUGAGAGCGCGACCAGCCACACUGGAACUGAGACACGGUCCAGACUCCUACGGGAGGCAGCAGUAGGGAAUAUUGGACAAUGGGCGAAAGCCUGAUCCAGCCAUGCCGCGUGAUAGAUGAAGGCCCUCUGGGUUGUAAAUAUCUUUUAUCUGGGAAGAAACUCCUCUAUUCUUAGAGGCCUGACGGUACCAGAGGGAAUAAGCACCGGCUAACUCCGUGCCAGCAGCCGCGG